AAAACUUUAAGUUAAAUAAAACUAUUAACCUUCAAAGUUAAUUAUAUAUAUAAAAUAUAAGUUUUA
rnacentral:tRNA from 1 species